rnacentral:sRNA from 1 species
UUGCAUUAGGGAUUGCAGCGGCAUCCUUUUUUACAAGUUGACUGAAGCUCGCGAAGGUAACUUGUAAAAAAGAUAUAGUGGAAAGCCCGACCUGUA